rnacentral:tRNA from 1 species
GGGCGAGUGAUGGAACGGAAGACAUGCAAGUUUUAGGAGCUUGUGCUCGAAAGAGCGUGAGGGUUCGAAUCCCUCCUCGCCCA